GCCGGGCCGCGGGAUCAGCAAGUGCCUGGUGCGGGGCUGGCCAGAGCGACGUACGGGCACCAGGGGGUGAACAGCCCGGGAGCGCCCAGAACCGGGACGGGUCUGUGUGUCUAUGGGUCGCUGCACCGUGAGUGAGACAUCCUGAGCUCCCGGCCGUGCAAACCAGGGUUUGCCGCUAACCACACAGCAGCAGCAGGGACCUGGUUAAGGACAUGGGAGCAGAUUGUGUCUUUUAUGGAUCUGCAUUGUCCUCGGAAUCCAUUUCUAACAAGCCUUGCUGCCUCUGCCCUGAGCUGGAAGGACUCUGCAAGUGUGACCAGAGUGACCUGAGUCCAGGGACAUGCUCACCUGCUCCGCUGUGUGUUUCAGCAGGACCAGCUUGGCAAGAAGGUGUGCAGGGCCAGGGCUGGCCAAGAGCUGGCUGUGCUGAUGGGAAGAGAGGGCAGGAGCCACGUAGGUGGAGGAAGCUAUGAGGAAGAAGCCGGGGUAGGGUGUGGUCGGAAACCAGGCAGCACGGCUGCUUCCCCCACUUCGGUCCUCCCACAAACCAGUGUGGUAGAGCAAGCCUAUAAUCCCAGCAUGUGGGAGGCUGAGGCAGGAGGACUGCUGUGAGUUUGAGGCAAGCCUGGAAUACAUAGUGAGUCCAAGACAACAGGCAAGCCUGAACUGCAUGACAACACCCUAUCUCAGAAAACCAAAAUAAAUAAAUAAAAUAAGACAAAACAACCUUAUACACUAAGCCAGGUGUGGUAGCAUAUUCCAGGAGGCUAAGACAGGAGAAGCAUUCGUUUGAGCCUGGGGAACUUAGUGAAAGCCUGUCUCAAAACAAGAAAAAAAAGACUGGGAAUAUAGCUCAGUGUGAAGGCCCUGGGUUCAGUCUUCAGUACUGGAAAAUAAAUAAGUAAACAAAAUAUUAGACACCAUAAUGUGUUUUACUUUUUUGUCUUUUUGAGACAGGGUUUCUCUAUGUAGUUUAGGCUGGCUUUGAACUCACUGUGUAGUCCAGGCUGGCCUUGAAUUUGCAGUAAUCCUCCUGUCUCAGCCUCCUGAGUGCUAGGAUUACCAGCCUGUAUGAUUACAUGCCUAGCACACUAGACUCUCUCAAAAUAAAAACAGGUCUAGAGAAGUAGGUAGGCAUAAAGACUCUGAGUUCAAUCCCCACUAUAAAAAGACAAAACAAAACAGAAACACUAACAAGAUGCGGGGUUGGUAUUAUACAUCUUUCAGGGCAGGAAGAUUCCAAGUUUAACCCACCCUGGGUAGCUUAGUACUGAGACCCUAUCUCCAGUUAACAAAUACAGAGAGGGAGAGGGUCCUGAGCAUGUCGCUUAGUGGUAGAAUGCUCUGAGGUUUCAUCCCCAGUGCUAUGUGCUCGUCUGUACAUGCACGCGUGCACACACAACUGCACGCAGUAACAUGGUAACUUUAAAAUUCAGCUGCCUAGCUGGUGGCUCACCUCUGUAAUCCCAGCACUCGGAAGGCUAAGGUAGGAAGAUUGUUUCAAGACCAGCCUAGACUACAAAGUCAGCUUAAGGCCAGCCGGAGCUGCAUAGUGAGACCCUGUCUCAAAACGACAAACAAAACAAAACAGCUGCCUGAGCCAGGGAUGUAGCUCAGGGGCGUAAAUGCCUGCCUGGCAAGUGCAAGGUUCUGAGUUUGAUUCCCAGUACGGGGAGGGGGUGGGGUGGGGACACCCAGCUGCUCCUAACUCAAAUGGCUGGAGGCCCUGCUGAGUCCGCCUGAAGCCCUGAGGUGGGCCAGCUGAGCUGUUCUUUCUCCUGGAGCCACUUACCACGAAGGCUGGAGUGCGCUGGGCCCUGGGCCCUGGGAGAAAGCUCUGAGGGGCAGCAAGGCAGGUCCUGUCGCACAUGGUCGAGCUGUAGCCUCUGCUGGGCCAGACUCAGGUGUUCCUACACCCAACCCAAGACAGGACUCAGCAGCUGGCAGUGGGCACAGGGGCUGGGGUGGUGGGGGUGGGGUACCUGGUGCACAUGCUCUUCCUGCUGCCGAAGCCGCUCCUGCUGCCUCUGCAGGACCUGCAGCCUGGCCUGCUGCUCGGACUGCAUCUGUCGGGCCUUGUGCAGUGCAAGCUCGCCUUCCUUGUACUUCUUGGAGGCCACCUGCAAGGAGCCUGCUGGAUUAGGAAUAGGUGGGGUCACUUGGUGGCCCAAGCCCUGGACCUGUCCAGCCGUACCUCGCUCAAGUGCUCCACUUCCUCAGCUCGCAGCUGCAGGCUCAGGGCUGUGGCCUUAACAUUCUCCUUCUCCAGCUGCAGCUCUUGCCGCUCCCGCUCCACCGCUUCCCUCUCAGUUGCCAACUGCUUCUCCUUGACCCGGAGUUCGCUGGCCCUGACCUUCAGUUCUGCCCGCUCCUAGGGAAGGCACAACCUUUGUCUCGCCUCCUGGGGGCUGUCCCAGACUCGGUGCAAAACCUAUAAGGUCGCCCUGCCUGUCCUGCCUCUCGGAGGGGCAGUGGCUUCCAGAAUGGGUCCCAGGCCUGGGGCCAGGUCAGGUGAUCCUCACAGCAGUGUAACCACUGCAGGCCUAUUUCUGAACUGCAGUUUCUUUCUUUCUUUCUUUUUUUUUUGUGGUACUAGGGAUUGAACCAGGGCCCCAAGCAUGCUAGGCAAGUGCUCUACCACUGAGCUACUCUCUAGCCCCACCAUGUCUCUAAAAUGCCUGUCAUGCCAGGCAUGGUGGCACACGCCUGAAAUCCCAGCACUGGGGAGACUGAGACAGAAAGAUCACCAUGGCCAUCAGUUCAAAUCCACUGCUGGCUUCAUAGUGAGUGCAGGGCCAGCCAGAACUAUGUAGUGAGACCCGGUCUCAAAACAAAACAAAACAACCAAACCAAACCAAAAAUGUCUGUUAUGAGAACCAAUGUAGACUGAGGGAAAUGUGCAAGAACUGCCUUAAACAAUGCAAAGAAGUUAUUGCAAUGAGGGAACCACUGUUUUAAUUCUUUUUGGAUCCUAAAGAUUGACCCCAGGACCUAAGCGAGCUAGGUAAGCACUCCAGCACGCAGCUUGAAACAUGGUCUCAUUAAACAGCCCAGCUGGUCAUUGACUUUGCGAUCCUUCUCCUUCAAUUUCGUGAGGAGCUGGGAUUACAGGCUGUGCCACCAAGCCCAGCUGGUUCCUGUAUUCUUAUUGCAGUGACCUUACAGUGGUACUUCAGUUCACAAACUUGAUUUUCUCCACAGUUCUGUUGGCAAACCAAGUGGGAUGGGUACUGACAGACUCUGUGGUUAGGUUCAAUGUGACCUCAUGAAAGAAUCUGAUUCAGUUCUCCUCCACUUUGGUUUGCAACCAGAAUCAUGGAGAGGAUUGAGUGCGAAUCGAGGUACCACUGAAAUUUCUAGGCCUGGAAGCUGAUGCUCCCAGAAAAACUGGGGCUGUCCUGGAGGCACUGGGUCCUACCUUGGCCAGGCUGAUGAUGGUGCCCUCCCGCUGGGUGUCCACCUGCAGUGCUCGUUCCAUCUCACGCUCUGCUCGCUCUUUACUCAGCUUCUGCUGCGUGGAGAACUCUGCCCACUCCACGGCUAGGCGCCGCUGCUCCUCCCCACACUUAUGCAUGACUGACUUCUGCUCCUCCAGCAAGGCACUCUGGAUUCGAGGGCAGGUGCAUGGUGUGAGUGUCCCUGUGCAUUGUGCUGGGGUCAGCAAUGGAUGUGGUGCUGGACUCACCUUGACCCUUUCCAGCUCCUCCCUCUCCAUGGUGAUCUGCUGGACCAUCACCUUCCUCUGCUCCUCCAGGGCACGCUGCAUGGACUCUGCCUUGGACCGCUCCGCGUUCACUCGCCAGCGUUCCUGCAGGGUACACGGCAGGGCUCAGGGCCAGCUCCUGAUGCUGGAGCUGGCAUGGCUGGUCCUCAAGGAGCUGUGCAAACCUAUCUACAACUCCUGAGCGAAGUUGGAGGUACCUGAGAGACCUGGCCUGGGCUCAGGGGUCUCCAGCUACAUCAUGGCUAGUGCAAAGGACAGUCACAUCCCUUCCUAAAUCACCAACUCUGGGGCUCUGCUGCCUGUCACACAUCAGCCAAGCAGAGGAGCACAGGAGAACUCAUCACUGUGCUUGGGGCUCAGGGUACAUGCAGACAGAAAGUAGGACGCCGACUGCCUGGCCUGAAGAGGUGCUCGACAGCUCCAGUCAGAGUAUGCAGAUGUGGUCAUGAUAGAAAAGCAUCUGUAUCUAGGUUGGAAUGGCCAUGGGAUAUCACUGUCCAUGAAUAUCUCUGCCUAGUGGUAAUUUUAAUUUUCUUUAUUGUUUCAUAUAUAUAUACUUUUUUUUUUUUUUUUUUGAGACAGGGUCUCACCAUGUGGUUCACACUGGCCUUGAGCUCACUUUGUAGCCCAGGCUGGUCUCCAACUCGCAAUGAUCCUCCUGCCUCAGCCUCCUGAGUGCUGGGAUUACAGGUGUACACCACCAUGCCUGGCCUAUUUUAAUUUUUUUUAAUGUAACAUUAUUAUAACAGUGCGAAGGGUACUCUUCUUAAAAUAAGGCUUGGCUGGGGAUGUAGGUCAGCAGCACAAAUGCCUGCCUGGUAAGUGCAAGGCCAAAAUAUAUGUAAUAAGGUUCUUAUGCAUGAAAGAUGAAUGAUAUGUAAGAAGUUAAACACGUGUCGUGUGUCAUAGUUAUGGAGGUAAAGUGACAUUUAGUGGAGUGUCUGUCCCCAUGUCACAGAUCGAAGGGGGAAAGGGAGGUGCAGCUGACGGUGGGAAGACUAUGGAGAGUGGCCACGUGGCUGGGGACCGAGGAGCAGGUGGUAGACAGCCCGCCUGGGCAGUGCUAAGGCCAGGCAAGAGUGGGACGGAGCAGCAGGGCACUGACCGUAAGGAGAGGCAGCACACCUGCUCUAGGAGCCGGCUCUGCUCACUCAGGUGUGCCUCCAUCUUCCCGAUGACCUCCUGCAGACGGCCACGCUCUUCCUCCAUGUCCCGCUGCUGCUGGCCCAGCCGCUCCUGUAGCACUGGGGAAGGCGCAUAGACAUUUUGCCCUCCUUUCCACCGAGGGGGCCUGGCUAUGGGAGAUGGGAGAUAGGGUGUACCUCGCAGCUGCUUGUCCUGCUGCCGGACGCCCAGCUCCCGCUCCUGCGCCAUAGUGAGAUGCGAGGCUUCCACGCGGGAGGCCAGCACGUUCAGGCUGCUGGAGAACUUCUCCAUCUGCUCGAUGAUGCCAUUCAGGGACCUGCAAGAGGAUGGAACACCUCGUCCUGGGGACGUCCAGACCUGGGCUUGGGUGGCAGGGUUGUCGGCACACAAACCGUGUGUGGGAGGUGGCACUGGUGACGGCAUCAAUCUCUUGGUCCUUCAGCAGCUUCAGCCGCUGCAGCUGCUCAUCAUGGUCUUUGCGCAUCUCCAGGAUGGACGCCCUGUGGGAAGCAGUGGAAGAGACCCAGGGCCCUUCUGAGCAAGGCCAUAUAAAGACCAUGGCAUCCCUUCACAGAAGGCACAGCUCUCCAAGGGGCUCCUCUGCUUCCUCUUCCACCUCUCCAGGCACUGUCUUACCUUUCUCAGUUUCAGUGCCACACACAGCAAAGAGUCCUCUUACUCAGUAAAGGGCACUUUUCACAGAAAACAGAAAGUUGUGUGUGCUGGGCAUGGUGCUGCACCCCCAUAAUCCCAGCACUUGGGAGGCUGAUGCAGGAGGACUGCUAUUCGUUUGAGGCUAGCCUGAGCUACAUAAGUGAGUUUAAGGCCAUCCUGAACUAUAUAAUGAGACCCUGUCUCAAAAAACAAAAAUAAAGAAGCUCUCCAAAAAACAAAAGAAA